ACCCGGCACAAGCAGCGGAGCGUGUGGUUUAAUUCGUUGCUACACGAAGAACCUUACCUGGGUUUGACAUAUAGGUUGUAGGGAACUGAAAAGGGACCGACCCUUCGGGGAGCCUAUACAGGUGUUGCAUGGCUGUCGUCAGCUCGUGUCGUGAGAUGUUCGGUUAAGUCCGCUAACGAGCGCAACCCUCGUCGUAUGUUAUAUGUGUCAUACGAGACUGCCGGUAAAAAGCCGGAGGAAGGUGAGGAUGAUGUCAAGUCAGCAUGACCUUUAUAUCCAGGGCUACACACACGCUACAAUGGUCUGUACAAUGGGUAGCCAAGCCGCGAGGCGGAGCCAAUCCUGAAAGCAGGCCUCAGUUCAGAUUGCAGUCUGCAACUCGACUGCAUGAAGCCGGAGUUGCUAGUAACCGCAGGUCAGCAAUACUGCGGUGAAUACGUUCCCGGGUCUU
rnacentral:rRNA from 1 species